UCCUACGGGAGGCAGCAGUGAGGAAUAUUGGUCAAUGGCCGAGAGUCUGAACCAGCCAAGUCGCGUGAAGGAAGACUGCCCUAAGGGUUGUAAACUUCUUUUGUAUGGGAAUAAAAAGUGGCACGUGUGGUAUAUUGUAUGUACCAUACGAAUAAGGAUCGGCUAACUCCGUGCCAGCAGCCGCGGUAAUACGGAGGAUCCGAGCGUUA
rnacentral:rRNA from 1 species